AUGGCCUACUUCGAUGAGAAAGCGAAGGAAGAUCCAGAUUUCUUCUACAGGAUAAGAUUGGACGAUGAGGACCGUGUCAGGAACAUGUAUUGGGUGGAUGGUGCUGCAAGAAGAGCCUACAAACAUUUCCGAGAUUGCAUUUCAUUCGACGCGACAUAUCUCACUAAUAUGUACAAGAUGCCAUGCGCUCCAUUCAUAGGAAUAAAUAACCACAAUCGGUCAUUGCAGUUCGGAUGCGGGCUCGUUCGGAACGAAGACACGGAUGGGUACACUUGGCUGUUCAAGACCUUCUUGGAGUGCAUGGAUAGACUAGCUCCGAUGAACAUAAUAACAGACCAGGAUUUUAGCAUGCGUGCAGGCAUAGAGGAGGUCUUUCCGUUGGCAGUGCAUAAGCACUGCAGGUGGCACAUUAUAAAGAAGUCUGAGGAGACGUUAGGACCAUUCUUUGCUGAGCGUCCAGAGCUGCACAAGGCAUUCGAGCUGUGCAUGGACCACAACUUGACGGUGGAGGAGUUUAAAAGGAGCUGGAUGGCCAUGAUUGAAACAUAUCAAGUCCAAGUCAACGAGACGCUUGCUAGCAUGUGGGAGAAGCGAAUGUAA
rnacentral:rRNA from 1 species